rnacentral:rRNA from 1 species
ACGCUAGCUACAGGCUUAACACAUGCAAGUCGAGUGGCAGCAUGGUCUUAGCUUGCUAAGGCCGAUGGCGACCGGCGCACGGGUGAGUAACACGUAUCCAACCUGCCGUCUACUCUUGGACAGCCUUCUGAAAGGAAGAUUAAUACAAGAUGGCAUCAUGAGUCCGCAUGUUCACAUGAUUAAAGGUAUUCCGGUAGACGAUGGGGAUGCGUUCCAUUAGAUAGUAGGCGGGGUAACGGCCCACCUAGUCUUCGAUGGAUAGGGGUUCUGAGAGGAAGGUCCCCCACAUUGGAACUGAGACACGGUCCAAACUCCUACGGGAGGCAGCAGUGAGGAAUAUUGGUCAAUGGGCGAGAGCCUGAACCAGCCAAGUAGCGUGAAGGAUGACUGCCCUAUGGGUUGUAAACUUCUUUUAUAAAGGAAUAAAGUCGGGUAUGGAUACCCGUUUGCAUGUACUUUAUGAAUAGGGAUCGGCUAACUCCGUGCCAGCAGCCGCGGUAAUACGGAGGAUCCGAGCGUUAUCCGGAUUUAUUGGGUUUAAAGGGAGCGUAGAUGGAUGUUUAAGUCAGUUGUGAAAGUUUGCGGCUCAACCGUAAAAUUGCAGUUGAUACUGGAUAUCUUGAGUGCAGUUGAGGCAGGCGGAAUUCGUGGUGUAGCGGUGAAAUGCUUAGAUAUCACGAAGAACUCCGAUUGCGAAGGCAGCCUGCUAAGCUGCAACUGACAUUGAGGCUCGAAAGUGUGGGUAUCAAACAGGAUUAGAUACCCUGGUAGUCCACACGGUAAACGAAUGAAUACUCGCUGUUUGCGAUAUACGGCAAGCGGCCAAGCGAAAGCGUUAAGUAUUCCACCUGGGGAGUACGCCGGCAACGGUGAAACUCAAAGGAAUUGACGGGGGCCCGCACAAGCGGAGGAACAUGUGGUUUAAUUCGAUGAUACGCGAGGAACCUUACCCGGGCUUAAAUUGCAGAUGAAUUACGGUGAAAGCCGUAAGCCGCAAGGCAUCUGUGAAGGUGCUGCAUGGUUGUCGUCAGCUCGUGCCGUGAGGUGUCGGCUUAAGUGCCAUAACGAGCGCAACCCUUGUUGUCAGUUACUAACAGGUUCUGCUGAGGACUCUGACAAGACUGCCAUCGUAAGAUGUGAGGAAGGUGGGGAUGACGUCAAAUCAGCACGGCCCUUACGUCCGGGGCUACACACGUGUUACAAUGGGGGGUACAGAGGGCCGCUACCACGCGAGUGGAUGCCAAUCCCCAAAACCUCUCUCAGUUCGGACUGGAGUCUGCAACCCGACUCCACGAAGCUGGAUUCGCUAGUAAUCGCGCAUCAGCCACGGCGCGGUGAAUACGUUCCCGGGCCUUGUACACACCGCCCGUCAAGCCAUGGGAGCCGGGGGUACCAGAAGUGCGUAACCGCGAGGAGCGCCCUAGGGUAAAACUGGUG